UACGGAGGGUGCAAGCGUUAUCCGGAUUCACUGGGUUUAAAGGGUGCGUAGGUGGAGUGGUAAGUCAGUGGUGAAAUCUCCAAGCUUAACUUGGAAACUGCCGUUGAUACUAUCAUUCUUGAAUAUCGUGGAGGUAAGCGGAAUAUGUCAUGUAGCGGUGAAAUGCUUAGAUAUGACAUAGAACACCGAUUGCGAAGGCAGCUUACUACCCGAAUAUUGACACUGAGGCACGAAAGCGUGGGGAUCAAACAGG
rnacentral:rRNA from 1 species